rnacentral:misc_RNA from 1 species
UACGGAGGAUCCAAGCGUUAUCCGGAUUUAUUGGGUUUAAAGGGUGCGUAGGCGGAUAAAUAAGUCAGUGGUGAAAGCCUGCAGCUCAACUGCAGAACUGCCAUUGAUACUGUUUAUCUUGAAUAUGGUUGAGGUGGGCGGAAUAUGACAUGUAGUGGUGAAAUACUUAGAUAUGUCAUAGAACACCGAUUGCGAAGGUAGCUCACUAAGCCAUCAUUGACGCUGAGGCACGAAAGCGUGGGGAGCAAACAGG